rfam:Gossypium hirsutum cultivar TM-1 unplaced genomic scaffold scaffold1659.1, whole genome shotgun sequence
GAAUGGCAAGAGUGAUGAAUCAAUUAGAUGUGUGAAUGGGGUUUGAAAAGUUUUUUUUAAUUUCCCAUUUUGAACUUAAUUUUUUGAGGCAUAACAGUUGUCUGACUUGCCAUUG